rnacentral:rRNA from 1 species
AUUGAACGCUGGCGGCAGGCUUAACACAUGCAAGUCGAGCGGAGUGAUGGUGCUUGCACUAUCACUUAGCGGCGGACGGGUGAGUAAUGCUUAGGAAUCUGCCAUUUAGUGGGGGACAACAUUCCGAAAGGAAUGCUAAUACCGCAUACGUCCUACGGGAGAAAGCAGGGGAUCUUCGGACCUUGCGCUAAAUGAUGAGCCUAAGUCGGAUUAGCUAGUUGGUGGGGUAAAGGCCUACCAAGGCGACGAUCUGUAGCGGGUCUGAGAGGAUGAUACGCCACACUGGGACUGGAACACGGCCCAGACUCCUACGGGAGGCAGCAGUGGGGAAUAUUGGACCAUGGGCGGAAGCCUGAUCCAGCCAUGCCGCGUGUGUGAAGAAGGCCUUUUGGUUGUAAAGCACUUUAAGCGAGGAGGAGGCUCUCCUAGUUAAUACCUAGGAAGAGUGGACGUUACUCGCAGAAUAAGCACCGGCUAACUCUGUGCCAGCAGCCGCGGUAACAC